GCCCCCCCUGUUCCGCCGCCCCUGCUAGCACUGAUAACUGAGUUCUGUGCAGGUUGCCACAUUUAGCUGUAAGCUACUGACCAAACUACUGUAUGCGACUAGAAUGUAUAAUAAUGCUUUUUAAUUCUUGCCCUUGCCCCUUGGUGAUUAAUUCUUGCCCUUGGUGAUUAAUUCUUGGUUUGCAAUAGGCAAUUCCACUGAUGGGACGUAAGGUAUCAUGUUGCUGAUUAUGCUGAAAAUGUUCAAUAAAAACUGCCGAAACAAUCGAAAUAUUUCAAUAAUUACAAGUAUAAGCUAUCACUCCGUGAGCAAAUUGCCCCCUUUGCAAAUUGCCCCCUUGAGUUAUC